UACGUAGGGGGCUAGCGUUGUCCGGAAUCAUUGGGCGUAAAGGGUGCGUAGGCGGCGCGGUAAGUCGGGUGUGAAAUCUCGGAGCUUAACUCCGAAACUGCAUUCGAUACUGCUGCGCUAGAGUACUGGAGAGGAGAUUGGAAUUUACGGUGUAGCGGUGAAAUGCGUAGAUAUCGUAAGGAAGACCAGUGGCGAAGGCGGGUCUCUGGACAGUUCCUGACGCUGAGGCACGAAGGCCAGGGGAGCAAACGGG
rnacentral:rRNA from 1 species